rnacentral:piRNA from 1 species
UAAUUGUGGUUAAUGUUGCUAGAAAUAA